UCUGGUGGCUAUAACGGAGAGGUCACACCUGUUCCCAUACCGAACACAGAAGUUAAGCUCUCCAGUGCAGAAGAUACUUGGCCGGAGACGGCCCGGGAAAAUAUGUCGCCGCCAGAU
rnacentral:rRNA from 1 species